rnacentral:misc_RNA from 1 species
GAUGAAGAACGCAGCAAAAUGCGAUAAGUAAUGUGAAUUGCAGAAUUCAGUGAAUCAUAGAAUCUUUGAACGCACAUUGCGCCCGCCAGUAUUCUGGCGGGCAUGCCUGUUCGAGCGUCAUUUCAACCCUCAAGCACAGCUUGGUGUUGGGACUCGCGUUAAUUCGCGUUCCUCAAAUUGAUUGGCGGUCACGUCGAGCUUCCAUAGCGUAGUAGUAAAACCCUCGUUACUGGUAAUCGUCGCGGCCACGCCGUUAAACCCCAACUUCUGAAUGUUGACCUCGGAUCAGGUAGGAAUACCCGCUGAACUUAAGCAUAUCAAUAAGCGGAGGA